ensembl:misc_RNA Metazoa_SRP Metazoan signal recognition particle RNA
GCCGGGCAUGGUGGCACAUGCCUGUAAUCCCAGCUACUUGGGAGGCCGAGGCAGGAGAAUUGCUUGAAUCCAGGAGGCAGAGGUUGCAGUGAGCCGAGAUUGUGCCACUGCACUCCAGCCUGGGUGACAGAGCGAGAUUCUGUCUCAG